rnacentral:rRNA from 1 species
GUGAGGAAUAUUGCGCAAUGGAGGCAACUCUGACGCAGCCAUGCCGCGUGCAGGAAGAAGGCGCUACGCGUUGUAAACUGCUUUUAACCGGGAAGAAACCCCAUGACGUGUCCUGGGUUGACGGUACCGGAGGAAUAAGCACCGGCUAACUUCGUGCCAGCAGCCGCGGUAAUACGAAUGGUGCAAGCGUUAUCCGGAUUCAUUGGGUUUAAAGGGUGCGUAGGCGGAGCGUUAAGUCAGUGGUGAAAUCCUGCAGCUUAACUGUAGACUUGCCAUUGAUACUGGCGCUCUUGAGUGCGCUUGAAGUGGGCGGAAUGUGCCGUGUAGCGGUGAAAUGCUUAGAUAUGGCACAGAACACCAAUUGCGAAGGCAGCUCACUAAGGCGAUACUGACGCUGAGGCACGAAAGCGUGGGGAUCGAACAGGAUUAGAAACCCCUGUAGUUC